rnacentral:rRNA from 1 species
CCUCAAAUCAGGUAGGACUACCCGCUGAACUUAAGCAUAUCAAUAGGCGGAGGAAAAGAAACUAACAAGGAUUCCCCUAGUAACUGCGAGUGAAGAGGGAAAAGCUCAAAUUUAAAAUCUGGCAGUCUUUGGCUGUCCGAGUUGUAAUUUAGAGAAGUGUUACCCGCGUUGGACCGUGUAUAAGUCUCCUGGAAUGGAGCGUCAUAGAGGGUGAGAAUCCCGUCUUUGACACGGACUACCAAGGCUUUGUGGUGCGCUCUCAAAGAGUCGUGUUGUUUGGGAAUGCAGCACUAAAUGGGUGGUAAAUUCCAUCUAAAGCUAAAUAUUGGCGAGAGACCGAUAGCGAACAAGUACCGUGAGGGAAAGAUGAAAAGAACUUUGGAAAGAGAGUUAAACAGUACGUGAAAUUGCUGAAAGGGAAACGCUUGAAGUCAGUCGCGUUGGCUAGGGAUCAACCUUGCUUUUGUGGGGUGUACUUCCUAAUCAACGGGUCAACAUCAGUUUUGAUCACUGGAAAAAGGCUAGUUGAAUGUGGCAUCUCCGGAUGUGUUAUAGCUUCUAGUCAUAUACAGUGGUUGGGACUGAGGAACUCAGCACGCCGCAAGGCCGGGUUUUUAACCACGUACGUGCUUAGGAUGU